AUUGAACGCUGGCGGCAGGCCUAACACAUGCAAGUCGAGCGGAUGAAGGGAGCUUGCUCCUGGAUUCAGCGGCGGACGGGUGAGUAAUGCCUAGGAAUCUGCCUGGUAGUUGGGGAUAACGUCCGGAAACGGGCGCUAAUACCGCAUACGUCCUGAGGGUGAAAGUGGGGGAUCUUCGGACCUCACGCUAUCAGAUGAGCCUAGGUCGUAUUAGCUAGUUGGUGGGGUAAAGGCCUACCAAGGCGACGAUCCGUAACUGGUCUGAGAGGAUGAUCAGUCACACUGGAACUGAGACACGGUCCAGACUCCUACGGGAGGCAGCAGUAGGGAAUAUUGGACAAUGGGCGAAAGCCUGAUCCAGCCAUGCCGCGUGUGUGAUGAAGGUCUUCGGAUUGUAAAGCACUUUAAGUUGGGAAGAAGGGCAGUAAGAUAAUACCUUGCUGCUUUGACGUUACCAACAGAGAAAGCACCGGCUAACUACGUG
rnacentral:rRNA from 1 species